UACGAAGGGAGCUAGCGUUGUUCGGAAUCACUGGGCGUAAAGCGCACGUAGGCGGAUGUGUCAGUCAGGGGUGAAAUCCCGGAGCUCAACUUCGGAACUGCCUUUGAUACAGCACGUCUUGAGUCCGGAAGAGGUGGGUGGAAUUCCUAGUGUAGAGGUGAAAUUCGUAGAUAUUAGGAAGAACACCGGUGGCGAAGGCGGCCCACUGGUCCGGUACUGACGCUGAGGUGCGAAAGUGUGGGGAGCAAACAGG
rnacentral:rRNA from 1 species